rnacentral:rRNA from 1 species
GCCUUUGGGUGGGGAAUAACUCAGGGAAACUUGAGCUAAUACCGCAUAAUGCAGCGGCUCGACAUCGAGACAGUUGUUAAAGCGGGGAUCGCAAGACCUCGCGCCUGAAGAGAAGCCUGCGGCAGAUUAGCUAGUUGGUAAGGUAAUGGCUUACCAAGGCAACGAUCUGUAACCGGCCUGAGAGGGCGGUCGGUCACACUGACACUGAAUAACGGGUCAG